rnacentral:rRNA from 1 species
UCGAGAAUCUUUCGCAAUGCCCGAAAGGGUGACGAAGCGACGCCGCGUGCGGGAGGAAGGCCUUCGGGUUGUAAACCGCUGUCGGGAGUUAAGAAAUGCAAGGAUGUUAAUAGCGUUCUUGCUUGACUAAGGCUCCGGAGGAAGCCACGGCUAACUCUGUGCCAGCAGCCGCGGUAAUACAGAGGCGGCAAGCGUUGUUCGGAAUUAUUGGGCGUAAAGAGCACGUAGGCGGCUGUGUAAGUCGGUUGUGAAAGCCUUCCGCUCAACGGAAGAACGGCAUCCGAUACUGCAUGGCAUGAGUGUGGGAGGGGAGAGUGGAACUUCUGGUGGAGCGGUGAAAUGCGUAGAUAUCAGAAGGAACACCGGCGGCGAAGGCGACUCUCUGGUCCAUAACUGACGCUGAGUGUGCGAAAGCUAGGGGAGCAAACGGGAUUAGAUACCCCCGUAGUCCCUGAGCGGGCUGGCAAGGCGCAU